UGCCUACAGGGAGGAAUAAAAUUAUUUACCUUAAAGUGCUGGAGAGCAUCAAGAGCCAUUAAACACCCUUUGGAAGAGAAUGUGCACAAAGCACACAGAAGUUCUAAAACUAGGAUCUUCACAGUGAUGUUUUGAGACUCCAACACUGUAAAAAUUGAAAGAAGCCACAUUUGAAACCAUUUUCAAAUCACACAGUACAAAUGACUGAAAGGUAAUUACUGGUAAGAGCAUGUUGCUACACAUCUCAUGCAACAUUACACUUCAAAAGGAAAAAUUGUCACUGUGACAACUUUCUUCACAGCUGAACAUCUUGCAGAGCAGUUGAAGUGGGUACAUUGAAGAAACCCCAAACAGAAGUCCUUCCAUCAGCAAAGUCUGCUAAUGGAUCAUUGUAUGAUCCUAUCUUAUACAUAUGUGGUGACACAACAAUUACUUUGUACAAGGGAAAGACCAAGAAAAGUGUUAUUCAAUGAGCACAAUGUAUCAGUCAGUCACAGUGAACCAAGAACCACAUAAAAAACUCCCUGAAAUUGUGAACUGCUACAGUUCCGCUCAAUUUGGAGUUGAUAUUCUGGACCAGAGAAAUAUGUAAGGUACCAGUACGGAAGACCUGCCAGAUAGGAGUAUGCAAAGGUUCAAACAAAAUAAAAAUCUGUGCAUACUGUACAAAAAAUUGAUAUGUGGUCCAUGUGCUGGAAGUGUUCAGUUAUGUGUGUGCAAAGCAUUUUGAUGAAGAAGGUGGCUUUGACUGAAAACAUGUCAUACAGAGAAGAAACAAUUUAUGUCCAUUUUUGUUUCUGUUUCCUAAUAAAUUUUUGCUUAUGGCCUGUUUGGGAUUUUAAUUGAGAACAGGUCGUAGAGAUAAAAAAUGUAAUUUUAUAAUUAUAUAUUUAUUUGCAUUUGUAAGUUUAGUUUCAAUUAAUAAUGUAUUCAUGAUGUA